rnacentral:lncRNA from 1 species
GCUGCCCUUACAUCCAUGGUGAUCCUCUUGCUUUAUGCUUGGCUUCAAAGCAGAUAUUUUGGAGAGACAGACGCAUACUCUAUAGAUUAGACUGGCCUAAAACUCACUAUGUAGCCCAACCUGAUCUUGAAAGUGAUCACAGUGAUCCUUCUGCCUCAGCAUUUCAACUGCAGAUGACAGAUGUGAGCCACUGAAUACAAUAUUUUCAAACCCAUCUUUAAGAGGAGGGAACUGAGGCUUUGAGAGAUACUUGACACAGAUUUCUCAAUUCUUCCAAGUUCAACUCAAAGUCAGCUAGCUGGUUGAUUCAAUGCCCAAGGCUAUAUGGCUCCCCACAUUGUACAUCGUGGCCUGAAAAGAAAACUUUUGGUUGUAAUCUAUAGCCUGUUGCCCAGAAAUGAAGUUCUUUUCUUUCCUAUUAUGCAUAUAAUGGGAGACACCAAGCCUGUCAACUUACUUGAGUCAUUUCCCAUACACAGAUGUCAGCUUCUAUGUGACCAGAAUCAGGAAGAAAACAUCAAGUAUUUUUGUCUGUGGAUACUCUGCUUUCUUGAUUAUAGUUCUUUUUCAAGACUGAAUAGGUUUGGCCAGCAUAGAAACCCCCUUGGAUACACUACUAAAGUGGCCAGCUGACAGUGCUAGGAGACAUGGGGAAACAAACAAUUCAUAUACUUUUAGGCCCAGACAAUUUGAGCUACGAGUGUUUUCUCAAUAAAUUCCAAUAGUUAUUUAGAGACCCCUAUCUUUUAGCUCUUCAGAACAAUCUGAUAAAGGACAGAGAGCUGCACCCCAAGAUGCUACCCCCUGAGACAGAGUCCUAACCUAUGUAUCCUAACCUGGCCUUGAACUUGUUAUAUAGCCAAGGAUAGUCUUGAACUUGUGAUCCUCCUAGCUUGAGCAGAAAUUACAGGUGUGCACUACCACAUCCUAGUUAUACAGUUGGUGGUGGCGCCCAAACUCAGAGCUUCAUGCAUGCUAGACUAGCACUUGACCUGAUGAACCACAUUCUAAGCCCACCACAUUGCUUUAUUUGGCCACCAAACAAUUGAGAGAGGAAAGGUUGGGCCAUAUACAAACUACUCUCAUUUGUCUGUGCUGCUCUUCAUCUCACUUUGCCUCCACAGUCUAUGACAGAUAAGGCUCCCUGGCCCUUCUCUCCUUGUCCCUUGACCUCUGCUCCAAGUGACUGCUCUCUUACUAAUCUUAUCCCUAGGCUAACAAAGAUAGGUCAGGCAAUGCUAAUGGCUCUACUACAGUCCUGUCCCCAGGACUAUGACUGCAAUCUAUUUCGCACAUUGCAUGAUCUCUUUACGUCAAAAAAGAGUUCCAGCCCCCUUCCAAGUCACCCCAGUAUGGUAAGAGACAGGCUCUAGCUAAGUUAUCUUUGGUUUUGUGGCAAAAGGAAAAGAGUAAGGUAAUGCUCACCAAUCUCUCCAAACUUCUGAUAUGAGAGGCAUGUAUGACAGGCUGCUAACAGGCUCAUGGCAGACACAUGGCCAAGCCUAACUGCAAAUGAGACAGAGGUGCAAACUCCUCCCCAGGGAACAAUUUUAGAACCUGGUAUAUCUGAAAUCAGAAAAUAACAAUUUUUUUUGCUUAAAAUAAGAUGUACCUUAUGGAUGAAGGUGUGACUCAGCCACGGGAGGCUUGUACAGUUAUGCAUGAGACCCUAGGCUCAGUACCCAAUAUAAAUACUUUGCAAUUGUGUUAAUGGCAUACAAACGCAUCCUCCUUUUAAGUAAAAGUUUAAAAUAUUAGAAAUAGGGCUAAUCCUUAUUUUAAAAAGUAAGAUUUCCCUUUUUUAUUUUAAGUGUGUGAAUGUUUGCCUGCACAAUGUAUGUGCACCACAUGUGCAAUGUCUAGGGGAGGGCACAGAAGAUAACAUCAGAUUCCCUGGAAUUGGAUGUCUUAGUCAGCUGUGAACAGCCCAGCAUUAGUGUUGGGAACAGAUUCUGUUUCCUUUGCCAGAGCAAGCAGUGCUCUUAACUGCUGAGGCAUGUCUCCUACCUCAACAUUUCUUUAUUAACCUCCUUCUGUAUCUAUUCUUUUAACUAUGUGUAGCCACUGUUCCUGCUUUAUUUUAUUUUAUUUUAUUUUAUUUUAUUUUAUUUUAUUUUGAAACAAUUGUCUCACUAUGUAGCUCUGGCUGUCCUGGAACUCACAGAAAUCUGUCCACCUCUGCCUCCUGAGUCAUGAGAUUAAAGUUGUGUAUAACUGCGCCUGGUUCCUGCUUUGAUUUAUUUUAUUUUAUUUAUGUAUUUAUUUAUGUAUGUAUUUAUUUAUUUUUGGUUUUGUUGGGUUUUUGUGAUAAGGUUUCUCUGUGUAGCUAUACUGAAACUCUAUAGAUCAGGGUGGCCUCAAACUCAGAGAUCUGCCUUUGUCUGCCUCACAAAUGUUGGAAUUAAAGGCAUGUACAACCACC